AUUGAACGCUGGCGGCAGGCCUAACACAUGCAAGUCGAGCGGAGCGGCGAACGGGUGAGUAAUGCCUAGGAAUCUGCCUGGUAGUGGGGGAUAACGUCCGGAAACGGGCACUAAUACAGAAUACUCUCAGCUGAGCCUAGGUCGGAGUAGCUAGUUGGUGGGGUAAAGGCCUACCAAGGCGACGAUCCGUCACUGGUCUGAGAGGAUGAUCAGUCACACUGGCACUGAGACACGGUCCAGACUCCUACGGUGGGCAGCAGUGGGGAAUAUUGGAAAAUGGGCGAAAGCCUGAGCCAGCCAUGCCGCGUGUGUGAAGAAGGUCUUCGGAUUGUAAAGCACUUUAAGUUGGGAGGCGUUACCAACAGAAUAAGCACCGGCUAACUUCGUGCCAGCAGCCGCGGUAAUUC
rnacentral:rRNA from 1 species